CCACCACACCCGGCUGGUUUUGAUUUUUUUAAUUGAAAAAUAUAUUAAACAUAAACAUAUUCUGGCCACAUAAUGUAUGCUUGUUUUUUUGUUUGUGUAGUCACAAGUUUUUCUGUGAUGCCUGGAUUUGCAGGGAAACCAGCCUGAACACUCAUUUCACGGUGUCUGUUACUUGGAAGGAAAACACAGUUUCUUAUUUCUUUGCAGAACCACUUGGGUGAAUGUAGGCUGUUAAAGUUGAAGGUGAGCUCACGUGCUCGAAUUCUGAGCCCAUGUGAGGAUGUCAGUAACUUCCAGUGGGGCAUGAAAACGAUACUGUGUUUUAACCCAAGCUCUCUUUGCCUCUCCAUUCCCACUUGCCUGGAUUUGGCUGGAUGUGCACCGCAAGGCUCCUUAUUUCUGGCACUACUGUACAAAAUGACCAGUGAAUCCCUCUUAUGUCAUGACUCUGAUUCUGAGUUCCUGGAAUCUUAAAAUAUAUCCAACACCUCUUUUCAUGUUUAGCAUUUCUGCACUAUUUUAAAACUUUUUAAGACCGUAAUUCAAUUUAUCCCCCAUGAGAAACCAAAUGUAUUUGGCACUUCCCUUCAUCCUUUGUGCUUACUUCUCAAUUCUAUUUCUGAUUUGUUGCCUGGCAUCCUUUGCUUUGGGAUCUAUGUGCCAAGAAAGCCACAAGGUUAACGUGGACCUGAACAGUGCUCUGUGAUCCUCUGUUGGAAAUCGCCAGAAAUCAAGGCAGUUUGGUAACAUCAUUCCGUGAGGCCUGAGCUUGCAGAACGCCUUGGGGAUGACCUUCUUAUUGGAUGCACACCAACUGCACUGUCUAGUAUACUAAGGUGAUGGUUGCUAUAUAGUGUGUGUUGUGAAGACUCAUAAGAUUAAAGGUUAUUCUCGUGAGAUAGAUAGGGCCAGGCUCCCGGGAAAUUCCCCAUAAGUUGAAACAAACAGUAAGGACACAUUUGCCUGGCCAAGGAAGUGAUCAAAGGAUCUUCGUGAGAAAACAGGAGAUUUAGGACCAGCCAAGAGAGUCAUUGUUUUCUUCGCUGCUAGCCUGGGUCACUUCCUCAUUAGUUAUGUCCCCAGAUAUUGGUCACCAAGAUCCCUGGGCCACUUUCCCAAUCCUUUGUAACCAAGUUCUGCUGAGAGUCCAUGUAAGAGCUGUAAGUCAACUGAAAUAUCUUCUCUACAAUGGACUUAAGCUUCUCAAAGCCAAAUAUAGUAUGAAUCACAAGAUGAAAACCUAAAACAAUCAGCUAACAGUUGGGAAACACUACCUCACUCCCCACCACCUACAAUAUACACACACAUACACAUCCAUCCAAACAUUUCUUUCUUUUAAGCUCUAAGUGUCAAAUCCCUGGACUGACAAUUACAUAUAUUUUCCCUCAUUUAUCUUAUAUUUUGAAUUGCACGUGCUUUUGAAAACCACCUAAAAUCCUUUGGGGAAAAAUAACGCAUAGGUUAAUCACUUUGUAAAUGAAAAAUAAAUGAUGUGCCAUUCUUCUUCCAAGGUUUUCCCUUUCACUGCAGCCCAGCAGUCCUUACUCUGUCCUAAGUUCCUUUAGCUUCCUUGCGGAAAUGCAGCUUCUAGGCUGCCUCGUGGUUUUUGCAGAGCACAGACAGCAUCCUGGAAGUAUGACGUGCUCUUCACUGGCAAGGACCUUCAGAGUUCCUCAGCCCCUCUCUCACUAGCUAUUGACACUCCCCAGCCCAGGCUUGGGCACAGACGAUGCGUUUGACAAACAAGUACUAUUGUUUGGGCCAGCCAGAUCUGUGGAAUGAACUUUGGAACUCAAAGGGGACUAAAGAUAGUUUUCUUUCACAUCUGCUAUGCUCCCAAGAUAGUUUAAGAGUUGUUGAAUGACUAUGUGUUUUAUGGGCACAAUCUCACUUAAUCCGCACAACUAGUUCAUCCUGUAGACAAGGAAACAAAGGCAUAAAGAGGCUUAGUCACCUGUCCAACAUGAAGAAACAUUGCCGGGAAGUCAGGCAAUCAACUUCACAAUUCAAAAUCUUGGUCAUGCAGGAGGAGCCAGAGGGAAAGAAAUAGCUGGGCGGUUAGAAAUGUGGCUUCAGCAAGACCACGGCGUUUGCUCUGGGCAUUGAAUGACAAGAUGAUUUGAAAUACGCAGAGAAGCUGGAGGCUGCUUAAGGAAAAGUAUGAGCCAAGUUUCCAAAUCUGGAAAGCACAGCCGGUCAUCGGCUCUUCCCAGAGCCUGGCCAAUGCUUCGCUGAGAAGGCCUCGCAGCAGCCCCCGAGGAUGAAGGAGUAUCCCAGUUGCGUCUUCUGAAGCUGAGUCUCCUGUUUUAUGGUUCAUCCAAAUGUGCAGUGCUCAUCUGACUCGCUCAUCACCAUGCAGUGGGGCUGCAUGGAUGAAGCUAAUUUGUGCCGGGCCUAUUUGGAAGCUGGUGUUCCCGUCAUGAAGACUCAGAGGUAGGGCACUCAACUGAGUGAACUCUAGGUAGGAAAGAACAGUGACCACAGAAACGUAGUGUCUCUCUGAAGCUGGAAAUUUGAUCCCAGGUGAAAGCAACCCAGCAGCUGACUACUCAAUGUCUACUGUGUAGUUCCAAGGUUUAGUUCAACUGACUGCAGAUCACCGAAACCUCAGCUAGACCCUGGUUCAAGGCUUUUGGUGGUAGAAGAAGUUAUGUGUGCAGGCUUCACUGUCAGAGAGACUUAGGCUUUGCUCUCCGCUCUUAUGCUCUCUAGCAGAGCCAUCUUGGAUGAAUUGCUGAACUUCACACCAUAAUCUGGAUGUGAUAAUGUUUACUAUACAGACUUCAGGUAAGGAUUUAAUUGAGAUCAUAGACAGAAAGCACUAAGUAAGCAUUCCCUAACCCAUGCUAAUGCACAAAACUUGUUGGUUACUAUGAUUACAAAAGCUGCCACAACAUCUCUCUUGAAGCUUAUAGUGUAAGGGGAAAAGGGGUGCCGGGCACAAAGUUCCUCUAAACAGAGUUGAGCAAUGCUUUUAAGAACUGUUGGAAAUAGAUUUUACUAUCCCCAUUCUUCCCAUGAGGACAUGAAAACCCCUAAAACCUAAAGUUUUGCUCAAGGCCACAUAGCUAAUCAUAGGGCCUGGAUGAAAAUCUGUGUCCGCUGGAACUGUCUCCCAUUAAAGGCCAUGAACUUUCCAUAACAUCAGCAGCCACUUCUGACUUCUCACUCUUCCACGGAGAGGCUGGACACUGGGGAACAUGUUGUUUCAACUAAUUUUACCUUUGUUAUCACAUUCAGUAAGUGGUAUUUAUGUUGGCUGUCCUUUAUGUCUCAUUUGAUUAGGCUUCAGGAGAACAAAUGAUAUAGUAGUCACAAGAAGACUUGAUAAAACAGGAUAUUCCUAUCUCAAUUUUUUUUUCUGGCUUUCUCUUGAUUUGAGGAGCCCAUAGGAAGAACAAAUAAAACCAAAGCAUGAGUGGGUAAAAGAAUGCCCAUCAGUAAAGCAGCAAACGAGCUUUGAGCUCUUUGGAGAAUUCCAUUAAUAAAAGUACUUUUGCACUUGCCACUGUUGACAGAGAUGGAGGACUUGGGUCUCCUAACACCGUCAAGCUGCACCUUUGUGUAACACAUCUAAUCCACUACAGAGGGACAACUUUCAACUGAUGCCUACAGUUUUUCCUUCUCUGAAGCUUAGUGACAUUCAUCGUUUUCUUCUCACAUUUUCUUUUAAAUGCCCCAGUGCAUGACUACCUUUUCAAGGGUUUGUCCCUUUUCAGUAAGAGAGAAAUCAACUAUAGCAGACACUGGGAGGCAGGGUCCACAGCUCUCCCAAGAAUGACAAUAAUGUGAUGGUUUAGGCAUCUGACCCUUACUCAUUGCUCUCUCCAACUCUGUUCCAUUUUGAUAUUAAUUAAAAACAGUUUUAAUCUAAAACCCGUCUAUCAAAAGAAGAACUGCUUGAAGCAAUAUAUGCCUCCUGAAGUCAAUGUCAUGUGACUUUACUCCACUUGAAUUACCUGAAGCAAGACAGUAGUAGUAAUAGCUAUCAUAGUCCAGCUACCAUUUCUUUU
rnacentral:lncRNA from 1 species